rnacentral:rRNA from 1 species
UACAGAGGUGGCUAGCGUUGUUCGGAAUUACUGGGCGUAAAGGGCGCGUAGGCGGCUUGGUCAGUCCCGUGUGAAAUCCCUCGGCUCAACUGAGGAACUGCACGGGAAACUGCCUGGCUUGAGUUCGGGAGAGGGAAGCGGAAUUUCAGGUGUAGUGGUGAAAUGCGUAGAUAUCUGAAGGAACACCAGUGGCGAAGGCGGCUUUCUGGCCUAUUCUUGACGCUGAGGCGCGAAAGCUAGGGGAGCGAACGGG